AUUUUGUAAUCCACCUACACUAAACAACACGACAACAGAACAUAUCCACAACUCUUCAUAGUCCACGACCUGCCAACAUACCCUAUUUGGCAAGAUCAUCGUGCCAGCGCAUAUGAAACGCUGCGGUGUGAUAGAAUCUGAAUUCUGGGCUGAUCCAUAUAUCUGCAGAUCAAACAUACAUACAUGCCACCGGUUAGUCGAUUAAACUGUAUGCCAUGUGGGAGAUCAUCUCCAAUUGCCAGCAUUCUCUUGUGAAACAGCCAUUGCUCUCCUUAUCUGAUAAAACUAAGAGAUAAGAGAAUGACCACUGACCACUACAACUAGGACCAACGUUAUAUCCCGAACGGAACUGUGAUCAGAUCAGUCGCUAGUUAAAUUCCAAGCAGGCAAUACCGAUUUUGUGCUCUGUGCCUGACUAGCAGUAUUUAUUUUAUAGUGCUACCUGACCGAUAGUCAUAGUGUAUCAACGUGGUGCUACAGAGGGUGAGCCGAGAUAGGCCGUGUAGGAGCCUCAAGCCCUCACACCCCCAAACAAUGCAUGACGAUGCAUGUAGCAAUGGCAGAGUAGAGUGAUGGUGAUUACAUGAGAUCGGCCCGUCUUUUCUAUCCAAAAUUCUGCAUGGCGGUGACAUUCAUCGCUCUGGUGGUGUGGUGACGUAGCAUCCCACCAUGGCCACUGAAUUACUGGAUCUCGGAGUUGCUGGCUUCCCGCCAGUUGUCAUGGACUUUCUGUUCCGGGCCAAUUCUAGCAGUCUACGUGGGAUACACGCACGACACGGACACCAUACAGUAGGAUAAGUACUAAAACUUAGAAUGUAAGUACACCUAGGAUAUAAGUAACACUUUAAUAAACAUCACCUACAGUUUUGCAUGUAAAAUUUA